rnacentral:rRNA from 1 species
CAAAAACAUCGCCUCUUGCAAACUUAAUAAAUAAGAGGUCCCGCCUGCCCUGUGACUAUUAGUUUAACGGCCGCGGUAUUUUGACCGUGCGAAGGUAGCGCAAUCACUUGUCUUUUAAAUGAAGACCUGUAUGAAUGGCAUAACGAGGGCUUAACUGUCUCCUCUUUCCAGUCAAUGAAAUUGAUCUUCCCGUGCAGAAGCGGGAAUACACACAUAAGACGAGAAGACCCUAUGGAGCUUUAGACACCAAGGCAGAUCAUGUUAAUAACCCUGAGUAAAGGAUUAAACCAAAUGGAACCUGCCCUAAUGUCUUUGGUUGGGGCGACCGCGGGGAAUUGAAAAACCCCCACGUGGAAUGGGAGCACCCCUCCUACAGCUAAGAGCCACAGCUCUAGUAAACAGAAAUUCUGACCAGUAAGAUCCGGCAAUGCCGAUCAACGGACCGAGUUACCCUAGGGAUAACAGCGCAAUCCUCUUUUAGAGCCCAUAUCGACAAGGGGGUUUACGACCUCGAUGUUGGAUCAGGACAUCCUAAUGGUGCAGCCGCUAUUAAGGGUUCGUUUGUUCAACGAUUAAAGUCCUACGUGAUCUGA